rnacentral:tRNA from 1 species
GGGGGUAUAGCUCAGUGGCAGAGCAUUUGACUGCAGAUCAAGAGCUCCCCAGUUCAACUCUGGAUGCCCCCUUA